rnacentral:rRNA from 1 species
AACACGUGAGUAACCUGCCCUUAACUCUGGGAUAAGCCUGGGAAACUGGGUCUAAUACCGGAUAGGAGCGCCUACCGCAUGGUGGGUGUUGGAAAGAUUUAUCGGUUUUGGAUGGACUCGCGGCCUAUCAGCUUGUUGGUGAGGUAAUGGCUCACCAAGGCGACGACGGGUAGCCGGCCUGAGAGGGUGACCGGCCACACUGGGACUGAGACACGGCCCAGACUCCUACGGGAGGCAGCAGUGGGGAAUAUUGCACAAUGGGCGCAAGCCUGAUGCAGCGACGCCGCGUGAGGGAUGACGGCCUUCGGGUUGUAAACCUCUUUCAGUAGGGAAGAAGCGAAAGUGACGGUACCUGCAGAAGAAGCACCGGCUAACUACGUGCCAGCAGCCGCGGUAAUACGUAGGGUGCGAGCGUUAUCCGGAAUUAUUGGGCGUAAAGAGCUCGUAGGCGGUUUGUCGCGUCUGUCGUGAAAGUCCGGGGCUUAACCCCGGAUCUGCGGUGGGUACGGGCAGACUAGAGUGCAGUAGGGGAGACUGGAAUUCCUGGUGUAGCGGUGGAAUGCGCAGAUAUCAGGAGGAACACCGAUGGCGAAGGCAGGUCUCUGGGCUGUAACUGACGCUGAGGAGCGAAAGCAUGGGGAGCGAACAGGAUUAGAUACCCUGGUAGUCCAUGCCGUAAACGUUGGGCACUAGGUGUGGGGACCAUUCCACGGUUUCCGCGCCGCAGCUAACGCAUUAAGUGCCCCGCCUGGG